rnacentral:rRNA from 1 species
UACGUAGGGACCAAGCGUUGUUCGGAUUUACUGGGCGUAAAGGGUGUGUAGGCGGUUGUUUAAGUUUGGUGUGAAAUCUCCCGGCUCAACUGGGAGGGUGCGCCGAAUACUGAAUGACUUGGAGUGCGGGAGAGGUGAGUGGAAUUCCUGGUGUAGCGGUGAAAUGCGUAGAUAUCAGGAGGAACACCGGUGGUGUAGACGGCUCACUGGACCGUAACUGACGCUGAGACACGAAAGCGUGGGUAGCAAACAGG